rnacentral:rRNA from 1 species
UACCAGCACCCCGAGUGGUCGGGACGUUUAUUGGGCCUAAAGCAUCCGUAGCCGGUUCUACAAGUCUUCCGUUAAAUCCAGCUGCUUAACAGAUGGGCUGCGGAGGAUACUAUAAGACUAGAAGGCAGGAGAGGCAAGCGGUACUCAGUGGGUAGGGGUAAAAUCCGUUGAUCCAUUGAAGACCACCAGUGGCGAAGGCGGCUUGCCAGAAUGCGCUCGACGGUGAGGGAUGAAAGCUGGGGGAGCAAACCGGG